GAUUGACGGCGGCCCCGACUGGCCCCGACCCACCGGCUGGUCUGCCCCGUGCGCGCUCAGUGCAGCCGCCUCCCGGACAACACUGCCACGAUUCUAACUGGAGGCGCGUGUCCUCUCUCCGCCACCAAGGGAGGGGACCAUCAGUGGUGCGACAUGGUGACUGAACGUCAACCUCCUGGAGCUGCGCAUGGCCAUGGAGGCUCAGGUCGCCUAUUUGUGGUCUCCUAUUAUCAUAGGUCAGGUUCUGAUCGGUUUUGGUUUGGUGAUUAUUUGAUUCCUUGAUUGCGUUGUCCACGGCUUCUCACCGCCCCGUUGUUCACCACAGGCUUCUCCAUUUGUGAUUCAGUCGACGGCGAUGACAAUCUCUUCUGGCUAUUUUCUGAUGUGUCUAGGAUUUAAUUUUCAGUUCAUUGGAUUUUGUUUGCAGGCUGCCCUGACGCUGACUAAUUUGACGACAAGAUCUUCCUUUGGUCCUUCCGCUUUGCGUGCUCCACUCCUCCAUGCGAGCUCUCAGACAUUGUUUGGUCAUCGAAGGUUUGUAGCCCUGUUUUGCCUACUGCAUGUUACACCUCCCCGUUUAAGGCAUAUUUUUAUAAGGCGAGCUAAUUGUCCCCUGCUAAUUAUCAGCUAGCUGAGUUCAGACGAGUUUUGUUGAACUGCAAAUGUAGAGAAAUACAAUGAGAUUGUGAGCCAAACUUCUUCUAUUGCUAUUAUGUUACUGUGAACAUGUAUUAGAGCAGACAGACCGAUUCAGUGAAGUUUGAUGGUAUGUACAUUCUAUUUCUUCACAAGUUUACACGUUCAGAUUCAGGUUAUUGUAGAAUUUGCUUAAUAUGGUAAAAAUGAUACGAUAGUAUCAAGGAAUUGAUUGUAUGUUGUUACCAUCCCAUAACAGUCUAGGGUAUAUUAUGGGGAACUAUGUUUAAUUGCAACUUAGCAGCAAUAUAUUUGUAGUUGCUUACUUCACCUGAACUGAAUGACUAUGGAAUUACCUAGCUUCGUAAUGAUUUUGGAGGUAUCUUCGAUCUUCUUAAUACAUUCGAAUUUGUUUGCAUUCCCUUCUAAUUGCAAUUUCUCGGGGCGGCAAUUCAAUCUUAACUUUGUGGCCCUCGCUGCUCGCCACACCUGGGCAAGUAUGGUGACCAGUAGCAGCCAGCCUCGGUGAGGAUGCAUGGGGAGCAGGUCCUUGCCCCAGCAUAUAUAAUUUCUCUGACCUGGUUUUUGACCUGGUGGUGUGAGCAAAGUCAAGCUAGAUAUACCUGUGUCGAUGAGGCUGCCGUCGCUAAACUGAGACAGCCCAUGAAAUUUCUCCGGAGGAUGAAGUUGUUGCCUACAUUCUGAGGUAUAUGAUUUACUUUUCUCCUGAAAAUAUAAUAUUAACUAUGUUCAUUUUACUUCUCUUUCCUGAAUUAUAUCAAGACCAACUUAAGUACAGGGAAUGAUUGUUCGUUAUAAUGGCAGUCAGUCCAAAAGCUAUAUGCAGGAGCUGAAGAGCUAAAGUCGCUUAACGCACUCAGAUUAAAUGGCCAAUGCUUAGUUCUCUGUCAGUUUUCAGGAGACAGAAAAGGCAUAUAGCUGAGAACUGUUCCUUCCAACUGAUUGUUCUAUAUUGUGUGUUAUCCUGUGUAUAUGCACUGCACGAGUGUAUAAAAAGUUGCCUUUUUGAUGUUCCCUGUUUAUAUGCUGAUUACAAUUAUUGUUGAAAAUAGCACGGUGACGCUAGGUUUCAGCUGAAUGAAUCCACACCUUACCGUUAUGAUCUCUCAGAUUCAGGCUAUCUACAGGACCUAAUAAAACCACCUAAUUAUUUUA